rnacentral:ncRNA from 1 species
CAGAGUAGGGGGUCCCGCGUAAAGUGCUGCCAGAAUGGGGAGUUGUAUGGCGGACGAAGGACUGCUUGUCAGGCCGCGAUGGGAUCGCCGCACCCGCUGC